AGAGUUUGAUCAUGGCUCAGGAUGAACGCUGGCGGCGUGCCUAAUACAUGCAAGUCGAACGAGGUGCUUUUGUAGCAAUACGAGAGUAUCCUAGUGGCGAACGGGUGAGUAACGCGUUGGUGACCUACCCCAAAGUGUGGGAUAACAGUCCGAAAGGAUUGCUAAUACCGCAUGUGGUCAUUGGAUUUAGAAACUGAUGACUAAAGGAGCAAUUCGCUUUGGGAGGGACCUGCGUCCCAUCAGCUAGUUGGUGAGGUAACGGCUCACCAAGGCGACGACGGGUAGGGGACCUGAGAGGGUGACCCCCCACAAUGUAACUGAAACACGGUCCAUACACCUACGGGUGGCAGCAGUAGGGAAUAUUGCACAAUGGGCGAAAGCCUGAUGCAGCAACGCCGCGUGUGUGAUGAAGGCCUUCGGGUCGUAAAGCACUUUCCUGGGAGAUGAGAAAGG
rnacentral:rRNA from 1 species